UACGUAGGGUGCAAGCGUUGUCCGGAAUUAUUGGGCGUAAAGAGCUCGUAGGCGGUCUGUCGCGUCGGCUGUGAAAACCCGGAGCUCAACUCCGGGCCUGCAGUCGAUACGGGCAGACUGGAGUUCGGCAGGGGAGACUGGAAUUCCUGGUGUAGCGGUGAAAUGCGCAGAUAUCAGGAGGAACACCAAUAGCGAAGGCAGCUCGCUGGGACGGUACUGACGCUGAGACGCGAAAGCGUGGGUAGCAAACAGG
rnacentral:rRNA from 1 species